UCCAGACUCCUACGGGAGGCAGCAGUGGGGAAUAUUGGGCAAUGGGCGCAAGCCUGACCCAGCAAUGCCGCGUGAAGGAAGAAGGCCCUCGGGUUGUAAACUUCUUUUAUCAGGGACGAAGGAUGUGACGGUACCUGAUGAAUAAGCUCCGGCUAACUACGUGCCAGCAGCCGCGGUAAUACGUAGGGGGCAAGCGUUAUCCGGAUUUACUGGGUGUAAAGGGAGCGCAGACGGCAGUGCAAGUCUGGAGUGAAAGCCCGGGGCCCAACCCCGGAACUGCUCUGGAAACUGUUGGUCUUGAGUAUCGGAGAGGCAGGCGGAAUUCCUAGUGUAGCGGUGAAAUGCGUAGAUAUUAGGAGGAACACCAGUGGCGAAGGCGGCCUGCUGGACGACAACUGACGGUGAGGCGCGAAAGCGUGGGGAGCAAACAGGAUUAGAUACCCCUGUAU
rnacentral:rRNA from 1 species